AAGUCGAGCGAGUCUGCCUUGAAGAUCGGAGUGCUUGCACUCUGUGAAACAAGAUACAGGCUAGCGGCGGACGGGUGAGUAACACGUGGGUAAACCUGCCCCAAGAGAUCGGGGAUAACACCUGGAAACAGAUGCUAAUACCGGAUAAUAACAGAUGAUGCCUAUCAACUGUUUAAAAAGAUGGUUCUGCUAUCACUCUUGGAUGGACCUGCGGUGCAUUAGUUAGUUGGUAGGGUAACGGCCUACCAAGGCGAUGAUGCAUAGCCGAGUUGAGAGACUGAUCGGCCACAUUGGGACUGAGACACGGCCCAAACUCCUACGGGAGGCAGCAGUAGGGAAAUCUUCCACAAUGGACGCAAGUCUGAUGGAGCAACGCCGCGUGAGUGAAGAAGGGUUUCGGCUCGUAAAGCUCUGUUGUUGGUGAAGAAGGACAGGGGUAGUAACUGACCUUUGUUUGACGGUAAUCAAUUAGAAAGUCACGGCUAACUACGUGCCAGCACCGCGGUAAU
rnacentral:rRNA from 1 species